rnacentral:rRNA from 1 species
GGUUAAGCGAAUAAGCGUACACGGUGGAUGCCUAGGCAAUCAGAGGCGAUGAAGGACGUGCUAAUCUGCGAAAAGCGUCGGUAAGGUGAUAUGAACCGUUAUACCCGACGAUAUCCGAAUGGGGAAACCCAGUAUCCAAUGGAUACUAUCAUUAACUGAAUCCAUAGGUUAAUGAGGCGAACCGGGAGAACUGAAACAUCUCAGUACCCCGAGGAAAAGAAAUCAACCGAGAUUCCCCUAGUAGCGGCGAGCGAACGGGGAGCAGCCCAGAGUCUUAAUCAAUAGCAGUGUCAGGAGAACGGUCUGGAAAGUCCGGCAGUAAAGGGUGAUAGCCCCGUAUCUGAAGAUGCUGUUGUUGUGAACUCGACGAGUAGGGCGGGACACGUGUUAUCCUGUCUGAAUAUGGGGGGACCAUCCUCCAAGGCUAAAUACUCCUGAUUGACCGAUAGUGAACCAGUACCGUGAGGGAAAGGCGAAAAGAACCCCGGCGAGGGGAGUGAAAAAGAACCUGAAACCGUGUACGUACAAGCAGUAGGAGCCUCUUUAUGGGGUGACUGCGUACCUUUUGUAUAAUGGGUCAGCGACUUAUAUUCUGUAGCAAGGUUAACCGUAUAGGGGAGCCGUAGGGAAACCGAGUCUUAACUGGGCGAAUGAGUUGCAGGGUAUAGACCCGAAACCCGGUGAUCUAUCCAUGGGCAGGUUGAAGGUUGGGUAACACUAACUGGAGGACCGAACCGACUAAUGUUGAAAAAUUAGCGGAUGACUUGUGGAUGGGGGUGAAAGGCCAAUCAAACCGGGAGAUAGCUGGUUCUCCCCGAAAGCUAUUUAGGUAGCGCCUCGUGAACUCAUCUUCGGGGGUAGAGCACUGUUUCGACUAGGGGGUCAUCCCGACUUACCAACUCGAUGCAAACUGCGAAUACCGAAGAAUGUUAUCACGGGAGACACACGGCGGGUGCUAACGUCCGUCGUGAAGAGGGAAACAACCCAGACCGCCAGCUAAGGUCCCAAAGUCAUGGUUAAGUGGGAAACGAAGUGGGAAGGCUCAGACAGCCAGGAUGUUGGCUUAGAAGCAGCCAUCAUUUAAAGAAAGCGUAAUAGCUCACUGGUCGAGUCGGCCCGCGCGGAAGAUGUAACGGGGCUAAACCAUGCACCGAAGCUGCGGCAGCGA